GCUUUGUAGUGUAACGGUAGCACACUCGGCGCAUAUUCGAGAGGUCUAGGUUCGAGUCCUGGUGAGAGCA
rnacentral:tRNA from 1 species